UGCCAGCCGCCGCGGUAAUACAUAUGUGGCGAGCGUUGUUCGGAAUCACUGGGCAUAAAGAGUUCGUAGGCGGCUAUAUUAGUUGGGUGUGAAAUCCUUGGGCUUACCCCAAGAACUGCAUCCAAUACUGUAUAGCUGGAGUUAUUGAGGGGGAAGUGGAAUUCCAUGUGUAGCGGUGAAAUGCGUAGAUAUAUGGGAGAACGCCAAUGGCGAAGGCAGCUUUCUGGACCGAUACUGACGCUGAGGCGCGAAGGCGUGGGUAGCGAACGGGAUUAGAUA
rnacentral:rRNA from 1 species